rnacentral:rRNA from 1 species
GAUGAACGCUGGCGGCGUGCCUAAUACAUGCAAGUCGAGCGAACGGACGAGAAGCUUGCUUCUCUGAUGUUAGCGGCGGACGGGUGAGUAACACGUGGAUAACCUACCUAUAAGACUGGGAUAACUUCGGGAAACCGGAGCUAAUACCGGAUGAUAUUUUGAACCGCAUGGUUCAAAAGUGAAAGACGGUCUUGCUGUCACUUAUAGAUGGAUCCGCGCUGCAUUAGCUAGUUGGUAAGGUAAUGGCUUACCAAGGCAACGAUGCAUAGCCGACCUGAGAGGGUGAUCGGCCACACUGGAACUGAGACACGGUCCAGACUCCUACGGGAGGCAGCAGUAGGGAAUCUUCCGCAAUGGGCGAAAGCCUGACGGAGCAACGCCGCGUGAGUGAUGAAGGUCUUCGGAUCGUAAAACUCUGUUAUUAGGGAAGAACAUAUGUGUAAGUAACUGUGCACAUCUUGACGGUACCUAAUCAGAAAGCCACGGAUAACUACGUG